rnacentral:rRNA from 1 species
AUUGAACGCUGGCGGCAGGCCUAACACAUGCAAGUCGAGCGAGCGGCGGACGGGUGAGUAAUGUCUGGGAAACUGCCUGAUGGGGGGGGAUAACUACUGGAAACGGUAGCUAAUACCGCAUACCAUCAGAUGUGCCCAGAUGGGAUUAGCUGGUGGGUGGGGUAACGGCUCACCAAGGCGACGCUCCCUAGCUGGUGUGAGAGGAUGACCAGCCACACUGGAACUGAGACACGGUCCAGACUCCUACGGGAGGCAGCAGUGGGGAAUAUUGCACAAUGGGCGCAAGCCUGAUGCAGCCAUGCCGCGUGUGUGAAGAAGGCCUUCGGGUUGUAAAGCACUUUCAGCAGGGAGGCGUUACCCGCAGAAGAAGCACCGGCUAACUCCGUGCCAGCAGCCGCGGUAAUAC